rnacentral:lncRNA from 1 species
CAAAUUAUUACAGUAAAAAAAGUGCAAAGUCAUAAAUCCAUAAAAAUUGGUACUCACGAAAACAUAAAUAAAUUACUGCAUGUACAGUUUAUAUGGUGUAACAGUAACUUUAAAUAUUUCUAUAUUUUGUCAGACAAAAUAUUGUCAUAUCUUUGUGGAAUACCUCCCAGAAAGAAAAAAGACAGAAAAAGGCUUUCAGGACUAAUUUUAUCAGGAAGUUCAUCACUGGCAAC